ACUUUUUUCACCUAAACUUAAGGAAAAUUUGAAAUAAAAAUGUCUUGUUUGUGUUGCCACAUAUGAAAUACAUACAACAACCAUUGGAAAAGCUCUAAGCGUGUGUUCACGGAAUUGAAAAGCCAUGCCGACCAACGUCUAAGAAGCGUGUGUUGGUGUCAGCCAUUUAAAGCCAAAUUUAUUACAUGCAAUUCAAUACGCGUUUUUCAUGUUUCGUUCAUUCAUCAUUAAAAGCCGAGUCUCCUCCUCAUUAAAAAAGAGAAGAAGUAAAUUGUGAUAGAUUCUCUCGAUAAACAGAUGAUUGAUCUUAUUCCAUAAACAAGAAACAAGAAGAUUUAAUCUAAUCUAUAAUUUGGAGAGGAAAAACAAGCAAAGAUCAAAAGUUAAUCCAUUGAUUCCAUUCCAGAAGAUGACGUUUCUUGUUUUCGUUGAUGAUGAAGAUCGAUCGUUAGGAAUCUGGAGGUUAGAUUUUUAUUGAAUCAAUCAAUCUGCGUAUCAUAUAUUAGGUUGUGCUUGCGAUUCUGUGAAGCCACUGCUGCCGUAGGUGCUUCUUAAGCGCACGCAAUUUCAACAAAGUGGUUCCCCGGUGGUUGUUCAAUUGUUGAAUACGAUGAGGAGGGGGAAUAUAAAUAUUCGAAAGAAACGAUAUGAUCAGAGAGCUUAUAAGUAUCAAGACCAAGAGAGGGUACCAGAGUUUUUUGAAGACAUUUAUGAUCCCAUAUACGAUGAAUUUAUCAAUGAGUAUGAUUCGGAUGAUUGGGGAUCAGUAGAUUCAUUUGAAAAUUUCAAGAUCCGGUACAAAAUAUCUGCUGGUGAUCAAGGAGGAGUU